GGACGCUGCCUUUCCUCCCCAAGGUUAAAUAACGCCUAACUGUAGUUUCGCGCUCAGUAACGGACGAACCACGAACAGCCAUGGAACAGCUUAGUCCAUUAGGGUAUGCUGGCGCUGCAGUGCUUCAGGUUAUAUUCGGCCUCCCUCUGGCUGCUCUACAAUUAAUAUUCGGGCCUUUAAACAGCGCCACCACAUGCAAAGGGUUCUCAGCCGGCCUUAUACCCUUCACAAUGCGGCUGUUAAGAGGCGAUGAAGUCAAAUGGUAUUUCGAUACAUGCUGAAGGAAGGGGAAAAAAAUGGCGCCACGUGCUUAUCAAAUUGAAGUAUAAAUAUUACUUAUUCCAGUUCUAUGGUUUUGUGAUUUUAUUUAUCUAUGUAUGGACGUAUUAAUUAAUUAAUUUAUUAACUCGUUUGCAUGGCUACGUGUUUAUCUUUAAUAGGAAUUUGAUUUAGUUUGUAUAUGUCUUUCUGCGUAAACGAAAAAUACAAGCAUCUAUCGUAAUGUACCAAUAGAUAUGAUGAGUAAUUUUUUUUUCAAAAUUAUAAUCAGAAACUACAGUCAAUUUUCAUAUAAGAAAUAUAUAGAUAAUUCUGUAUUUGUGCACAGUUUACGACUAUGUAAACCUUUGCAUUGUGAAUGAUCUAGCAAAAUAUGUACUGUAUAUGUGUUUAUGGAUGCGUUAUAUGCUUUGUAUAUCAGUCUAUGUUAAUUUUUAAAUAUAGCCUGCCUGAGGCUCUUGUUUACC